GGUUGUGUCAGUGCAACGUGCUUGUAAACAGAGUCCAGUAAGCCGGUUCCGCCCGGGUGCUUUAACCUUUCCAGUCAUAAGUAUUCCAGUUGCAGUGGAUCCGAUCCGUCACAUCGAAUAGAUUCCCCCGUACAUUAAAGAACAGUGACUAUUAAGUUUCCGGGUAGAAGUAAGCUAACGACGAUAAGAUUCCCGAUCUCCUUCUCACUUGAAGGACCAUUAUACGGAU